rnacentral:rRNA from 1 species
UACGUAGGGCGCAAGCGUUAUCCGGAAUUAUUGGGCGUAAAGGGCUCGUAGGCGGUUUGUCGCGUCGGGAGUGAAAACUCAGGGCUUAACCCUGAGCCUGCUUCCGAUACGGGCAGACUAGAGGUAUGCAGGGGAGAAUGGAAUUCCUGGUGUAGCGGUGAAAUGCGCAGAUAUCAGGAGGAACACCGGUGGCGAAGGCGGUUCUCUGGGCAUUACCUGACGCUGAGGAGCGAAAGUGUGGGGAGCGAACAGG